rnacentral:rRNA from 1 species
UCUACCUAGUAGUAUGGAAUAAUUGUUGGAAACGGCAACUAAUACCGUAUACGCCCUACGGGGGAAAAAUUUAUUGCUAUUGGAUGAGCCUAUAUUAGAUUAGCUAGUUGGUGGAGUAAUAGCCUACCAAGGCAAUGAUCUAUAGCUGAUCUGAGAGGAUGAUCAGCCACACUGGAACUGAGAUACGGUCCAGACUCCUACGGGAGGCAGCAGUGGGGAAUAUUGGACAAUGGGCGAAAGCCUGAUCCAGCCAUGCCGCAUGAGUGAAGAAGGCCUUUGGGUUGUAAAGCUCUUUUAGUGAGGAAGAUAAUGACGGUACUCACAGAAGAAGUCCUGGCUAACUCCGUGCCAGCAGCCGCGGUAAUACGGAGAGGGCUAGCGUUAUUCGGAAUUAUUGGGCGUAAAGGGCGCGUAGGCUGGUUAAUAAGUUAAAAGUGAAAUCCCGAGGCUUAACCUUGGAAUUGCUUUUAAAACUAUUAAUCUAGAGAUUG